GACAGAGGGUGCAAACGUUGCUCGGAAUUACUGGGCGUAAAGGGCGCGUAGGCGGAUUUGGAAGUCGGGUGUGAAAUCCCUGGGCUCAACCUAGGAACUGCAUUCGAAACUCCAAGUCUAGAGUGACGGAGAGGAAAGCGGAAUUCCCGGUGUAGAGGUGAAAUUCGUAGAUAUCGGGAGGAACACCAGAGGCGAAGGCGGCUUUCUGGACGACAACUGACGCUGAGGCGCGAAAGCGUGGGGAGCAAACAGG
rnacentral:rRNA from 1 species